UAAAGGGCUGUGUUAACAGCCACAUACUUUAAGUAAAAGUAAAUA
rfam:Pongo abelii chromosome 14, whole genome shotgun sequence.